rnacentral:rRNA from 1 species
GAUGAACGCUAGCUACAGGCUUAACACAUGCAAGUCGAGGGGCAGCAUGAACUUAGCUUGCUAAGUUUGAUGGCGACCGGCGCACGGGUGAGUAACACGUAUCCAACCUGCCGAUGACUCGGGGCUAGCCUUUCGAAAGAAAGAUUAAUACCCGAUGGCAUAGUUCUUCCGCAUGGUAGAACUAUUAAAGAAUUUCGUUCAUCGAUGGGGAUGCGUUCCAUUAGGUUGUUGGCGGGGUAACGGCCCACCAAGCCUUCGAUGGAUAGGGGUUCUGAGAGGAAGGUCCACCACAAUGGAACUGAGACACGGUACAAACACCUACGGGAGGCAGCAGGGAGGAAUAGUGGUCAAUGGACGAGAGUCUGAACCAGGCAAGUAGAGUGAAGGAGGACUGCGCUAUGGGUUGUAAACUUCUUUUAUACGGGAAUAAAGUGAGGCACGUGUGCCUUUUUGUAUGUACCGUAUGAAUAAGGAUCGGCUAACUCCGUGC